rnacentral:rRNA from 1 species
UGGUGUAAGUAUAUUAUCAUUAAUGUACAUGAUCUUAUCAGAACUUAGUAGUUAAGUAUUUUUGGGCUAGAGUAGCACUGGGAUGCAUGAUCUUUCUGAAAGUUUUAUGAGAAUACAACUU